rnacentral:rRNA from 1 species
GACGAACGCUGGCGGCGUGCUUAACACAUGCAAGUCGAACGGAAAGGCCCUGCUUGCAGGGUACUCGAGUGGCGAACGGGUGAGUAACACGUGGGUGAUCUGCCCUGCACUUCGGGAUAAGCCUGGGAAACUGGGUCUAAUACCGGAUAGGAGCCAUUUUUAGUGUGAUGGUUGGAAAGUUUUUUCGGUGUAGGAUGAGCUCGCGGCCUAUCAGCUUGUUGGUGGGGUAAUGGCCUACCAAGGCGGCGACGGGUAGCCGGCCUGAGAGGGUGGACGGCCACAUUGGGACUGAGAUACGGCCCAGACUCCUACGGGAGGCAGCAGGGGGGAAUAUUGCACAAGGGGCGCAAGCCUGAUGCAGCGACGCCGCGUGGGGGAUGACGGCCUUCGGGUUGUAAACUCCUUUCGCUAGGGACGAAGCUUUUUGUGACGGUACCUAGAUAAGAAGCACCGGCUAACUACGUG